rnacentral:rRNA from 1 species
UGGUGUGAAUUGCAGAAUCCCGCGAACCAUCGAGUUUUUGAACGCAAGUUGCGCCCGAGGCCACCCGGUCGAGGGCACGCCUGCCUGGGCGUCACGCCUCGCGUCGCUCCGCCUACCUCGCCCUAUGAGCACACCGUGCUCCUGCGGCGGCGUGCGGCGGAUGC